GAUGAACGCUGGCGGCGUGCUUAACACAUGCAAGUCGAACGAAGCAUUUAGAACAGAUUACUUCGGUUUGAAGUUCUUUAUGACUGAGUGGCGGACGGGUGAGUAACGCGUGGGUAACCUGCCUUGUACUGGGGGAUAGCAGCUGGAAACGGCUGGUAAUACCGCAUAAGCGCACAAUGUUGCAUGACAUGGUGUGAAAAACUCCGGUGGUAUAAGAUGGACCCGCGUCUGAUUAGCUAGUUGGUGAGAUAACAGCCCACCAAGGCGACGAUCAGUAGCCGACCUGAGAGGGUGACCGGCCACAUUGGGACUGAGACACGGCCCAGACUCCUACGGGAGGCAGCAGUGGGGAAUAUUGCACAAUGGAGGAAACUCUGAUGCAGCGACGCCGCGUGAGUGAAGAAGUAAUUCGUUAUGUAAAGCUCUAUCAGCAAGGAAGAUAGUGACGGUACCUGACUAAGAAGCUCCGGCUAAAUACGUG
rnacentral:rRNA from 1 species